GAUGAACGCUAGCGGGAGGCCUAACACAUGCAAGCCGAGCGGUAUUGUUUCUUCGGAAAUGAGAGAGCGGCGUACGGGUGCGGAACACGUGUGCAACCUGCCUUUAUCUGGGGGAUAGCCUUUCGAAAGGAAGAUUAAUACUCCAUAAUAUAUUGAUUGGCAUCAAUUAAUAUUGAAAGCUCCGGCGGAUAGAGAUGGGCACGCGCAAGAUUAGCUAGUUGGUGAGGUAACGGCUCACCAAGGCGAUGAUCUUUAGGGGGCCUGAGAGGGUGAUCCCCCACACUGGUACUGAGACACGGACCAGACUCCUACGGGAGGCAGCAGUGAGGAAUAUUGGUCAAUGGGUGCAAGCCUGAACCAGCCAUCCCGCGUGAAGGACGACUGCCCUAUGGGUUGUAAACUUCUUUUGUAUAGGGAUAAACCUACCCUCGUGAGGGUAGCUGAAGGUACUAUACGAAUAAGCACCGGCUAACUCCGUGCCAGCCGCCGCAGUAACAC
rnacentral:rRNA from 1 species